UGGGGAAUUUUCCGCAAUGGGCGAAAGCCUGAUGGAGCGACGCCGCGUGGGGGAUGAAGGGCUUCGGCUCGUAAACCCCUGUCAUUCGCGAGCAAGGUCGUUGGCCGAACAAGCCGAUGACUUGAUAGUAGCGAAAGAGGAAGGGACGGCUAACUCUGUGCCAGCAGCCGCGGUAAUACAGAGGUCCCGAGCGUUGGUCGGAUUCACCGGGCGUAAAGGGUGCGCAGGCGGCCGGGUAAGUCUUAGGGG
rnacentral:rRNA from 1 species